GCUAAAAAAAUACAAACAGAAACGGAGAUAUUUUGUAGGGAGCCUUUGAAGUGGCUUGCUCAUAUAAAAAGACCUGAAAAUAUGCAGUAAAUGACCUUUCUGUCUAUCACACUAAAUAAUACCCGCUAAAAAAACCAAGGUUGUGGUCUUAGAGAGAAGAUAGGCCCUCUUGCCACCAAGCUCGAAGACGUGUAUGCAUCAGUCAACAAAGGUGGCAGCAGGGCCUGAGUUUGUCCGAGGAGCUGGGCAAAAGUGAGAUAACAACAUCGUAUGUUCUUUUUUCUUCGAUCUGUGGUUCCCAAUUUGGAGAGCUCUGAAAAACAGAUUUCCAACACCUUCCAGUGCACCCUUCCCCUGCUGAUUCAGAGUAUCCAGGGACAGAGCCCAGAGACCUGUGUGUUUUACAGUUCCUUAGGUGAGGAGGCAGCCAAGUUUCCCGGGCCCCCAGCUCACUCCUGAGUUCCUGUGUUAAUCCCUGGGGCCAUUAAUCCCGUUUGUUUAUUUUAGCAAAUGUCGCCCUCUCGUGGAAAAAACUGACCCAGCCUUCAAAACUGCGCUUAAAAAUGAGUGUGAGGUUGAUUUGCAGGUAGUUAUUGAGGGAGAGGGUUGCUAUUUUUGAAGAAGGAGACUUGAAAGAAAAAGCUCAUAAAUCCAGAAAAGGAGGUCUUGUUUGACAGCUUAAAGACUGUCUCAAGGGAACGUUGUCCUUAGAAUAAAUCAUCCUCCCUGCUGUGGCCAGUUGCAAGCAAACUUAAAGCACGUGUCGGGUAGUUAUGGGACAAAUGAAAUGAUGGAGCAAGAGCCUCUGGCACCAGGCUAAAUUUGCUUCUCCUUCCUGUCCUAAUGUUUCAGGGAAAUGUGAAAGGCUAUUACUGCGCGCACGUUGGCUCGUGGGUAAAUAGAACUUUGGCCCUUCCUGUUCCAGGAUGACUGGAUUUGAAAAAGAUUGUGACACUCGUUCUAAGAACUUCUCUUUAUCACAGAAUCCCCCCCCCCACUCUUGGGCAUUCUUUCUUAUAUUGUAAAAGGGAUUAUUUUUAUUAUAUUAUCAAGGUGAAUAAUUUGGGGCUGCUUUCCAUUGUUUGGAAAUGUGCAAAUACAUACUUGAUAGGAUCAUCUCAUAUUAUCUGCACAACAUUCUCUGAAGCAGGUGUUCUUGGCUCCUUUUUACAGAUGAUACACACUAAACUUCAGAAAGGUGAACAGUCCGAUGGGUAACACAGCUGGUAGGAGGUGCACCCUGAUGAGAACCCAGCUAGCUAUUUAAUUUCAAAGCCUAGCUAACUCCAGACCUACACCAUGUGCCACCAUUAGCUGGGUGUGUUUUUUUUUUUUUCUUUUAAGGCAUAUUUAUUUGAAAGAGUUACGGAGAGAGAGAAGGAGAGGGAGAAAGAGAGAGAAAUCUUCCACCUACUAGUUUACUUCCCAAAUGGUGAAAUCAGGAGUCUGGAACUCCAUCCCAGUGUGCCACACCUGACAAGGGACCCAAGCAUUUGGGGCAUCUUCUGCUUUCCCAGGUGCGUUAGCAGGGAGCUGGAUUGGAAGAGAAGCAGCCACAGCUGGGACUCAAACUGGCACUUACAUAGGGUACCAGCAUCACAGGCUGUGGCUAAACCCGCUGUGCCACAACAGCGGUCCCAGUAGCUGGUUCUUACUCUUGUCCCUGUCCACAGUACUAUUACAGGACCUGGAAAUGUAGUUAGGCAAUAGCCCAGACUGGCAUGUCCCUGGAAUGCUAAUACCAACCACAAAUUGGUACAAACACAGGGCGAUGAGGGGGAGGGCACUGCCUCAAAUAGCAGGUGAAGUCUCCUGAUCUCACUUUGGGGUUGCACAGAAGAACGUCCGGAAUGCAGCAGCCCUCCUGUGGCCAGGAACAGUGCAUUCUGCCCCGUGCGGUAGCUCAGACUAAUCCUGACUGGUUGUUAGUUCAUUUGCCUCUGAGCUGCUGAAUUUCACAAACAUUUGCGCCAAGUCUCUAUGCCACCAUGGCAAAUUGUCCAAAAUGUCACCAGUUUAUAUUAACAUCCUCGGGGCCAGCCCAGGCCAAUGUGGAAGUGGCAGUCCUCUCAAAGAGCCCCACUUCCUCCCUGGCCAGCCCUUCCUAAUCCCCCGGGGUCUGGCUUAUUUCCACAGAACUCUCUGGAAAGUUCUCUGAGGCAGCUCAUAAAUAUUUUUCCUCUUGUAAAAUGCCAGGGGCUGAGCUUCCUCCUUUUUUCUCUUGGCCUGUCUUCAGUUCAGGUGUGUCAAUAGUUCUCAACCUUUUCCUCCUUGGACAUCACCAUUUUCUGUUUUUUGUUUGUUUUCAUCCUUCCAGAAUGAAGUGUGUUUCUUAAGGCUUCAUGGGGAGACCUUACCUAUUCUCGCUCCUUUCUCCCUAGGCAAACUCCAACUCCAUAUUUUAUAUACCAUGCCUUAGAGCCAAAAAGGACUUUUGCCAUAAUUUAAUGGGCUAAUGAUUCAGUCUUUGACCCCUCCAUGAUUGGUUACCUGCCAUUCAUUCUUUCAACAAACAGCAUUGAGGGUUUCUAAGCACAAAGAGUUGGUGCCAUCAGGGAAUAGCAAAGAGUUCACAAGUUGGUAAGAGGGACAAGCGAGGAGAUAACAAGGACACAGGCCGGCUGUGGUAGGUGCGAGAAGGUGGUAACAGACUGGAGAAACAGAACUGUGGUCAAGAAAGAGACCAGCCGGUGGACUGAAGGAGGCGCGGGGGAAGAGCGGAAGUGUCGUCUGGGCUGUGCCUUUUGGCAGAUUUGACCAGAAGCGGACAUUCUAGGGUGACAGGGAGGAUCUGAACAAGGGCCCGGGGAAAGGAAAGCACUGGGUGGUCUCCCAGAAGCUGGUGCUUGGCUGCUCCAUGGAGGAGAUGGGGCCGGGGCGGCAGGCAGGAUGGGAGCGAGCGAGAGGCACCCUGAGGCCAGGCUGGACUCCGUUGGGCAGCAGAGCAAGACAUGACUAACGUGCUUUGGAGGAAAGAUAGGGGAAAGCCAGGCAUUGAGGCUGCGACGAGACUGUGGGCAAGGAUUAUUUUGGUCUUAGUCUGUAACGAGAAAAGUCAUGAAAGGACAAAACCCACAGAAGAGACCUUGCAAGGCAGAACAGGAAGCAUCUGACUGUACAGUGAUUCCAACAAGACCAGAAAGGAGGAAUUCAGCAGCAUCUACCAAACGUUUGCUUAACUCCUACCAUGUUGAAGGUGGGACCACAGAUGUGGCCAGGGAACAGAAAUCGCGGCCAGCCCAGCCAGAAGACGGUGAGGUAGUCUGGAAGGUGUAGCCAGACUGGUCCAGUCAUCUCAGCCUCUCAUGACAGCUGGUUUUCAGAGAUGGUACCAAACAAUUCCUCUCCUAGAUACACAGGCUGCUCUUCCCAUCAAAAGGUAAAACUUAUUUAUCUUCCCUUUGAAUCUUGACUGGCUCUGUGACUGGCUUUGACCUGAAGUGGCAUUUCUGGGACUUCUCUACCCAGAUCUGAAGACAUCUGACAGCUCACCAUCUCUUAGAACACUCACUCUUAGGAUGCUCUCUCUUGGAAGAAGCCCAAGCCACACACUGGCUACAUGGAGAAGGGACUGCCCAGGUCAACAGCCCCCGGCUGAGUGCCCAGCUGGCAGCCAUCAAGAUGACCCAUCUUGUUGUGCUCCAGCCCAAGCAAGUCCCAGAUGACCUUGACUGAUACCACAUAGGCAAGAAGAACUUCCUAACCACGCCCACUUAAAACUCACAGGGCCAUGAGAGAGAACAAAUUAACUGUUGUUUUAAAUCAUUGAGUCAUGGGGUAAUUUGCUGUUCAGGAAUACCUAAUCAAAACAGCUACCCAUGAGCCAACUUUAUCUAAUCAUGGGUAGGCUUGAACCUAAUCUGAUACCAACAAGACUCAUUUCCUUUCUGAUGGCAAAACCAAGAGGUAUGAGGCUCCAUUCUAUAAAGAAAAUCAAGUCAAAAGAUUUGACUUUCUGCAGUCAGAAAGCCCCGUAGAAGCUUGAGUUCCAAUUCCAGCUGACCUGAGAUUAGCCCACCCAGCCCUUCCCCAGUCAACCAGACCACAUUUACCCGAGCUACUUUGAGUUGGGUUUCUAGCACUUAACAACCCAUAAGCCUUGAUGAUGAUGCUGAUUCAGGAUUUCUUUUGGUUUUAUUUAUUGUGUAUUUUCAUCGUAUUUGAAAGGGAUGGGAAGAGAGAGAGAGAGCAACAGAGAGGUUUUCCAUCUACUGGUUCACUCCCCAAAUGCCUGCCACAGUGGGGACCGAGCCAAGCCAAAGCCAGGAGCUGGGUCUCCACACAGGUGGCAGAGACCCAAGCACUUGAGCCAUUGCCUGCUGCUCCCUAGGGUGUGCAUUAGCAGGCACUGGGGUCAGCACCAAGCUGGGACUUGAAUCCAGGCACUCUGAUAAGGGAUGCAUGAGUUCUGGGUGACAUUUUAGCCACUGGACCAAACGCCCAGGAUUUCUGAGGAAACUGAACUGAAAAGACCACCUAUGCCUGCACCUGAUGUUGACACCUGGUCCGUGGCCAACUCUCAGUAAGGGAGUGUUCUCUUUCUCCUUUGACCUGCCCUGCCCACACCCAUACCUGCAGAAGGCCCUGUGGUAGAAAGGGGGAUGAAAGAGAUAGACAAAGUGCAUACGAAGUAGGCUUUUUGUGGGUUUCGUCCCCAAUGACCCUGUGAAUGCCGGAGAACAGGGACUAUUUAUUCAGUGCCCAGAACAGGAUGAAGCCCAGAAGAGGGACUUUUAAAACAUUUGCUGAGAGAGGCCGGCGCCGUGGCUCACUAGGCUAAUCCUCCACCUUGCGGCGCCGGCACACCGGGUUCUAGUCCCGGUCGGGGAGCUGGAUUCUGUCCCAGUUGCCCCUCUUCCAGGCCAGCUCUCUGCUGUGGCCUGGGAGUGCAGUGGAGGAUGGCCCAGGUGCUUGGGCCCUGCACCCCAUAGGAGACCAGGAGAAGCACCUAGCUCCUGGCUUUGGAUCAGCACGGUGCGCCAGCUGUAGCGGCCAUUGGAGGGUGAACCAAUGGCAAAGGAAGACCUUUCUCUCUGUCUCUCUCUCUCUCUCACUGUCCACUCUGCCUGUCAAAAAGAAAAUAUUUGCUGAGAGAACGAGAGGAAAGAAGCUAUAUCCUCAUCUGGGGCAGCAGGGAAGAGAGGCAGAGACAGGUUGAGGCAAAGAGGGAAGCAGAAGAAAUCAUACAGGAUGAUUUUAGUCCCUUCCGCUCUUGGCCCUUCAAGCUCCCCGCUCCCCCCUCCUGCCCCAUAUAUGCCCGCACCAGCCUGUAGAAGGAAAUCACGGGGCUGGCAGCAGUGACUCCAAAGUUCUCUGUCUUCUCUCGUCUUUCGUCAUCCUGACAUGCUUGCCCUAGAAAUCCCACUCCAUGCUUUUUUUUUUUUUUUUAAAGGCAGAGUGGUGGUAAAUGAUACAUAGAUGACAGACAAGAUAGGUAGAUAGAGAGUGCACCCAUUCACUGGUUCACUCCCCAGAUGCCCCCCUCACUGGCCACAGUAGAGAGCUGGCCUGGAAGAGGGGCAACCGGGACAGAAUCCAUGCCCCGACCGGGGCAAGAACCCCGUGUGCUGGCACCGCAGGCGGAGGAUUAGCCUAUUGAGCCGCGGCACCGGCUGGGCACUUUGACUUUAAUAGGAGAAAUAUUACUGGAGAUAAAGAAGUCCAUUUCACACUGAGAAAAGAGUCCAUUCAUGAACAAAACAUAAUCCUUGUAUGCCUUGCACAAAAGGCAAAAAGUGAUGCAAAAAAGGUUAAAAAAUGGGAUGGGCAAUGUUGUAUUAGACAAAAAAAGAGACGGAAGAAUCAGGGAUAAUGUACUACAAACCAGAACCCACACAGAAGACAAAAAUAUCUCGGCAUCAUUCUAAAUUAUACAUGUAUAUAAUCCACCAGCAUGAAAUUUUCCGAGCUAAACAGCACAGCCUCAAAAUAUACAAAGGGAAUAACAUUGGAAAUAAUGAAGAAAAGCAACUGAAGCAUAAUCUUAAAAAAUGUGUUUUACAAUCUCACACAGCAAAACGUGAGUGAACAGUUCUGUGAGUGUUGACAAACGCAGGCAUGUAAACACCAGCACAGUCAAGUACAAAACAGCAACCCCCUCAAAAAUGCAUUCCUGUUGCCCCUGUGUGGUCAGAUGCUCCCUACCCUAGAAACCCUUUGGCCUAUCCUCCAGCCCCAUGGUUUUGUCUUUCUCAGAAUGCCGUAUGAAGGAAUUAUAUAGUCUUUGAGUCUGGCCCCUUUUUAUACAACAUAAUCCUCUGAGAGUCUUCCUAGUAUUACGUACGUCAAUCAUUCCAUUUCAUUGCCAAGUAGUGUCCCCCGGUAAGGAUGGAUCACAAUUCACUUAUCCAUUCACCCACUGAGAUGCCUUUGCGUGCUUCCUGUUUGGGGGGAUGAAACACAAUGUUGCUAUAAGCAUUCACACACGGGAUGCUAUGUGAACCUAAGUUUUCAUUUUUCUUGUGACCCAGGGACUGCUGGGUCAUAUGGUGAGUUUAACUCAAAAUGGCUCCCCAACUAUCACUCCCAAACAUGGUAAUGACGCAGAACUCCCGUCGCUCUGAUUCCUCGCAGGAAUCUGGUAUCUGAGGCAUAAUAUUUUUAAAUUUAGUUUUUAGGGUUUUUUUUAAGAUUUAUUUAUUUAUUUGAAAGGUGGAAUUAGAGACAGAGAGAGAGAUCUUCCAUUCACUGGUUCACUCCCCAAAUGGCCACAACAGCCAGGGCUGGGCCAGGCCAAAGCUAAGAGCCAGAAACUUCACCCGGUCUCCCACAUGAGUGCAGAGGUCCAAGCACUUGGGCCAUCAUUCACUGCUUUCCCAGGUGCAUUAGCAGGGAGCUGGAUUGGAAGUGGAGCAGCAAGGACUCAAACCAGCACCCAUAUGGGAUACCAGGGCUGCAGGCUGCAGCUUUACCCACUACACCACAGCGCCUGACCCAAAGUAUAAUCCUUUUUAAAAAGAUUUAUUUAUUUAUUUGAAAAGCAGAGUGACAGAGAGAGGGAAUAACAGAGAGAUCUUCCACCUUCUGGUUCAUUCCCUAAAUGGCCACAACCACCAGUUCUGGGCCAGGCCAAAGCCAAGAGCCAGGAACCCCAAACUGGUCUCCAACCCAGGUGGCAGGGGUACUUCUGCUGCCUUCCCAGGUGCAUCAGCAGGAAGCCGGAUUCAGAGCAGAGGAGCCAGGACUCAGCCCAGCACUCUGACGUCGGAUGCUGGUGUUGCAGGCUGCGGCUUAACUCGCCGUGCCACAGCGCCCUUUCCUGCAGCAUAAUGCUAACCCGUGCCUAUCCAUCAAGGAGAGCACACACACUUCUAACCACAUAUAUAAUACACAAAAUAAAGAUGUCGACAAUGUCAUUACAACAAAUUAAGGUUAACAAAUAUUUCAUAUUACAUUUUUACACGAUAGUGACAACAUCUUCAAGAAUCUGUGGAAUACACAUAAAAACUGAUCAUAUUUUAGGUCACAAAGAAAGCCUGCACACACUUCCCAAUGUAGAGACGCCACCAUGACGCAAUACCUGUGAGCAGAAGAGCAGUGUACGCAGAAAAAGAGCAUCUAGAGGGUGCUGGGCCCCGGUCAAAACAGUUAUUGCUUUGGAUCAAAGAAGAAUUUUAAAAUUAAAUUAAUUUUCAUUUUAUUUGAAAGGCAGGCAGGGAGAGGGAGCGAGUGCUCCAGGCAGAAGCCAGGGACUCCAUGUGCUUAACCCAUCACCUCCUGCCUCCCAGGGUGCGCAUCAGCAGGAAGCUGGAUUUGAAGCAGGGCAGCACUGGAGCCCAGGCCGUCUGAUAUGGGAUGGGGCCCUCCUAAGCGGUGUGCUAACGGUAGUGCCUGCCCCAAAUGGAAAAGAACUUCUAAGGAAAAUGCAGGAAGGCGGUAGACAGGCAGAGUUCCCUCUCCACAGGUCUUGGAGGGCCGGUCCGUGUCCUUACUCAUCUCCCUGGACAUCCAGGGACCAGCACAGGGCCUGGGCUCCCGAAACGCACGCAGUCAACUCUGCGAAGCACUUCGCGCUUUCCCAGGCACGGCCUCUCUGCUUUGGGCUUCUCAUAGUUGCAUUUUAGCAUUCAGUGAAGUAUUGCCAUCACAGUUUGCCCCAUCACCUCAGUCCUAUCAAACAUACGUUUAGUUACCACUCACAAUGUGCUGGCUGGCUGACAUUAAUUCACCUAGUCCUUGCAACUGUGAGGGGAUAUUCCUAAAUUUUCAGAAAAUGAGGCUCAAGAAAGUUAAGCGACUGAGGUUAUAAAGCUCUUUCUAUUACGUUACUUGACUCCUGAAGGUUUUGUUCAUCUGUGUAACCUCAGUUCGUAGCCUCGCUCAUGGCACAGAAUACCUCCUGCUAGCCAUGAAUUGCUUGUCUCCUGUGGUCUGUAAAUUUCCCUUAGUGUACUGUAGAGAGCUGCUAACACCGAAGGAUUCAGACUCACUCAACGUGUCUACCUGCGUUGCUCUAGGCUCCCAUCUCUAUGGUUAGCAUGUGGGCACUCUAUACUCAGGAGGACCCAGAGAGUACGGCCAAUCAUCAGGCCGCCAUGCAGUCACAUGGUCGGAAGUUUCAUUCGUUAUUGGCUAAAAAACGGGAGGGCCCGCCCAAUCACUUCCGGUCUGCUCCUUUAAGUAAAAGUGCUUGCGGGUUAGUGUCCUUUCAGAGACUGCGACGGUAGGAAGGUCCCGGCCGCCGGAUUUGAAUCCGCCCCAGCGCAGGAAGAAGUCGGACUUGAAUCAGCCCCAGCGCAGGUUCAAGUUCCCCCGCCCACCCCUCCGAGCUUCUCAAUAAAGGACUUUGUUCUCA